rnacentral:rRNA from 1 species
GAUGAACGCUAGCUACAGGCUUAACACAUGCAAGUCGAGGGGAAACGACAUCGAAAGCUUGCUUUUGAUGGGCGUCGACCGGCGCACGGGUGAGUAACGCGUAUCCAACCUGCCCACCACUUGGGGAUAACCUUGCGAAAGUAAGACUAAUACCCAAUGACGUCUCUAGAAGACAUCUGAAGGAGAUUAAAGAUUUAUCGGUGAUGGAUGGGGAUGCGUCUGAUUAGCUUGUUGGCGGGGUAACGGCCCACCAAGGCGACGAUCAGUAGGGGUUCUGAGAGGAAGGUCCCCCACAUUGGAACUGAGACACGGUCCAAACUCCUACGGGAGGCAGCAGUGAGGAAUAUUGGUCAAUGGACGAGAGUCUGAACCAGCCAAGUAGCGUGCAGGAUGACGGCCCUAUGGGUUGUAAACUGCUUUUAUAAGGGAAUAAAGUGAGUCUCUUAAUACGGGGGGCUCAUGACGGUACCGUAAGAAUAAGCACCGGCUAACUACGUGCCAGCAGCCG